CAGCCGCCGCGGGAAAACGGAGGGGGCUAGCGUUGUUCGGAAUUACUGGGCGUAAAGCGUACGUAGGCGGCUUUGUAAGUUAGAGGUGAAAGCCUGGUGCUCAACACCAGAACUGCCUUUAAGACUGCAUCGCUUGAACGUCGGAGAGGUGAGUGGAAUUCCGAGUGUAGAGGUGAAAUUCGUAGAUAUUCGGAAGAACACCAGUGGCGAAGGCGGCUCACUGGCUCAUACUGGACGCUGAGGUGCGAAAGCGUGGGGAGCAAAGAGGAUUAGAUACCCGCGUAGUCCCUGUCUCUUAUAA
rnacentral:rRNA from 1 species